AUGUAAAAAAUAUUAUUAAACACUUUAAUUUUGCAGAAAUGUAAACCAUGAAGCUGCAGUGAAGAUAAAUCAGAAUAUCAUCAUCAUAAGCUGAGACCUUCAUUGUUUUAAGCUGAUGUUCCGGCGUUCUGUCCGCCGCCGGCCGCCUCCGGCUCUCCUGUCCAGAGAAUCUGUUUGUUUCUUCCAGACUCCCGUCAGCCUCCUGAGGACAGCAUGUCUCCGGAUCCGAACACUGACUCUGCAGCUCUGCAACAACAGAGGCAGAAAAUCAACUCAUGUUACAAGAAUCAAACAGAUGAUUCAUCCAAAACCUCCCUGAUCUUCAUGUUUCAGUUAUUACCCAUAAAUCUCUGGAUGUGUGCGGUCCUGCCCGGAUCCUGAACCGUCUGUCAGGAUCUUGUGGACUUAAUGUUUCUAUGUGGACUAAAAACUUUGUGUAUUAUAAAAGUUACUGAUAAUAAAUGAGCAUCUGAAGCUAAAACUGCUGCAAAAUACUGCAGAAGAAAA